CAGGAUCGUAUCAAAGUCUUAUCCUGGCCCUGGGGAGCGACUGCUCCCUGCCACCAUCCCCUCUGUGCCUCUCUCAAGCAGACCCUGCCAGUCUUCCUCACCCAGAGAUGAUGUUAGGUUUUCAGCAGUCACCUAAAGAGCAAGGAGGAGUGAGAUGAUUAAUAGUAAGUAAGCGUAGCUAACUGGGCCACAUGGGUGGUUUUCGGGUGCAUUCUGGUGGCAAAGUUGUAUCAAAGAGGCUGGGACGCACCAGCCCCAAGGGCACAGAUAAGUAUGGAUUAAAGAAGGCAGGGGGAUGAAAAUCUUCGCUCCUCACGUGUGGUCCAGGGGCCUGCAGCAUGGCCAUCAGCUGGAGCUGCCUACAGAGGCAGAAUCUCAGGCCCCUGAUGAAUCAGGAAAUAUGUUUUAACAAGAUGGCCAGCGGAUCCAAGGCGCACUUGAGUCUGAGACACACUGGCGCACAGGAAGGGGCAUAGGGUGUUUCUAUGUCUGACCCCACGGAUUCUAGCCCAGAUCUGCCAGUGGUAACUGUGUGACAUUACGUAAGUGAAGCCCUCUCUCUGAGCUUCCGUUUCCUCACUUGAAAGCAGAAAUGCUGUAGUCUAUCACAAAGGUUUGACUGAUGUGACAUGGGGCCUGGCACCAGUAGGCUCCAGCCCUAGUAAACUGUUGCUGUUUGCCGUUUAGUCGCAUUCAACUCUCUGUGACCCCGUGGACUGUAACCCUCCAGGCUCCUCUGUCCAUGGAAUUUCCAGGCAAGAAUACUGGAGUGGGUUGCCAUUUCCUUCUCCAGGGGAUCUUCCUGACCCAGGGAUUGAACCCGUGUCUCCUGCAUUGGCAGGCGGGUUCUUUACCACUAAGCCACCAGGGAAACCCCUAGUAAAUGGUAGCAGCACAGAACUGCUUGCUCAGAGAACAAUAAUAAUAUCCUUGGCUUCCCCAAGCCAGCUACCCAGGAGGUGGGGCUUCAGCCAGACCUCUUGCUAUUAUUUCACUUUUGCAUUUUCUGGAGAGGAUCUAUAGACCUCCAAUCAUGAAUCCUGAAGCCAAUAGUCAUAGCCUUUCAUCUCCAGUUUCCCCAUAAGUGAAAUUAGGACAUGAAUGCCCUCAUGGUGGGAUGGAUGCUGUGGGUGAAGGAGCUGGAGUAUGUGGCCAGGCAGGGCCAGGCUGAGAGCCAGGGCUUCUAGGAAGAGAUGACACCACCUCUGACUUUGGCAAUGGAACCUUAUGAACAGCACUUUGACCAUUUCCCACGAGCAAGUAGUACAGAGUCUGGGUUUCAUUUCUUUUAUCAUCUCUGUGUUUCCUUGAGACACUAUAGGAUUCCCAUAUGGCUGAUGGGGUCAGGGGUGCUGACCCACUCCCCUAUGUCCUAUCUUGAUGUUUCUGUAGCAGUAUUACCCCCCACUUUCCCAGGAUAAUGUAAUGGGGUCUACAGGGAGCUUGAGGUCUUUCUGAAUGCUGGGCUCACAGAACUGCUUCCUCAGUAAUACUUGGCUGAAGUUACUUUUCACUUUAGUUUCAGGGAGAAGAGAGAAGGACAGGCCUCAGGUGUUCCCUGGAAUGUGCUGGCUGAUGACCUGGAUGAGUCAUUUAACCUUUCUAAGCCUCAGUUUCCUCCUAAGAUGAAAACAUUAAGUCAAAAAAAUGCCCCGAAGAUGCCAGACAAGUCUUUACCUGUUCCAGGGAUGAUGGGAUUGCUGAGGGAUUAAAUGAGGUGAUACUGAUAAAGAACAUGGUCCAGAGAGGGAUAUAUAUGGUCAAUACAUGUUAGCUGCCCUUUUUGUGGGUUGUUAGAAGAGGUAGGCCUAAGACAGUUGGCCCCGGGCAAAAAUCACAAAUAAGAGAGUGGCCUCCAUUUGCAAACAGCAAGGCCAGCCUCCUGGCUCCUGUACAGGUUAGCAACUGACCCUUCCCUCCCCUACCAUCAUAUUUCUUUCUUUCACACAGAAGUUGAGACUUGUGGCUCACCAGGCGACCCCAACGAGUUUAAAGCUUGAAAUCAAUACACUCUCAAAACUGCUGUCACGCCCCUGCCCCCAUGACUGCCGCAGGCCCCUCCUAACCUGGGGAUGGCUCUCCCUCCCUCUCCCCGUUUCCUCUCCUGCUGGAAGCCAGGCCAGGGCUGAGCCCUAGAGAAGGUAUCUCCGCUGCACGUAUGCUGGUCCCAGGGGCCCUGCACGGAGCGGACGGGGCUCGUCCUGAUCCAGCACAGACUCUCCUCUUCCUGGGUUUGUUAGAAGCCUGACCAGGCCCCGAGUCUUAUGACUUCAACAGAUGUUUCUGCUUAAGCAGCCCUGGCAUCUUUAUGGCCUGUUUUUUCCAUUCUUGCUUCUCUUCCUCUGUCCCAGCAGCCCUGAACACAAUUUGGACUUCAUUUUCUUUCUAAUGGUUACAGGGAGGGAUAGAAAGGACUUUUUUUUUUCAUUUGUUCCCUUUUACUUAGCUUUUCAAGUGGCGUACACACACCCACGCAUGCAUAAACAUACACACACACACUCCAUAGGCAGCGGAUCUGGGCUCCCCGUGUGCAUUCGUCAAUGUCGCGCUGACAUUUAUUUUCGCUUCAGACUGAGCCCCAGUUCAAAACUUCCCUCCCUGCCUCCAGCAGCACCUCACAUUUAUCCCCUCUGUGUCCCCACACAGGUCACCCCAGGGCAGCUGAUUAGCGUGUCUUCCCAACUGCUGAUUCUGAAAGCUUGUGCUGGCCUCGGGCUCUGGCCUGUCCCUCCAGUGAGACGUGAAGAGCCGCGUGUCUGUCCGGCUCUGUGGGUCUGGGAAGGUUUCGCCGCCUGAUGGAGGGAAGGCUGAGAAUACAGUGACCCCGUAUCUCGUCAAACUGCCUGGCCAGCCGGUCUGCCCAGGCUCAGGUGGGGCCAAGGUGACAGCUUUUAAAAAUGGAGCCAGUUUUCCACGGGUACGUGACAAGCUUGAAACCAGUCUGGCCACUUUUCACGUCAACACCUAUAAUUCCACCUGGCUUGCCACCGUGGCAGGGUGUUCCCACCCACUGGCCCUCUAGGGCUUGGGGUCACUUGUCUUGAGCCUGGUUCCCAGAGCAAAGAAAGCCUGAAGACUGCAGGUGCUCUGCCAAAGGCUGGUCUGUGUCGAAGGCCCCUGGAGCUCAGAACCCUUGAUCACCUCCCAAGACUGAGGAGCAGAGCUGGAUUCCUCCUCUGGGCUCCCACCGUGGGUGUGGACAGAUCUACCCGGAGUGCUGAAUGUUGACACCACCUGCUGCCUCACCUGGUUGCCCAUUGCCUAAGAAGUGUGUGUGUGCGUGCUCAGUUGCUCCAGUCGUAUCUGACUCUAUGCGACCCCAUGGACUGUAGCCCGCCAGGCUCCUCUGUCCAUGGGAUUCUCCAGGCAAGAAUACUGGAGUGGGUUACCAUGCAGUCCUCCAGGGGAUCUUCCUGACCCAGGGAUUGAACCCAGGUCUGCCUCACUGCAGGCAGAUUCUUUACCACUGAGCUACCCGGGAAGGCCCAAAGAAGUGCAUCCAACCUUAAUCCCUCCAGGUCCCUGCAGCCUUUCUACCUGAGUGUCUGAUGAUACUGACUCACCUCUCAGGACAUGUUUAGAGCUGAGCUAACUAUCAAGGACCACCGGCUCUCGUGAGCCAUCUUCUGCUGGCAUUGGGGGAGAGGGAGUCAUCAGGAUGUCCCAUCUUCAACGCCCUUACAUGAAGGGCCUUUUCAGAAGGACAAUGACAGGGGCCGUAGCUCAGCCUCAAAAAGUCCUUACUCGGUGACUGCCCCACUUGAGAAGAGCCAGCCAGCCAGCACCCCCUCCUCUUUCCAUUGUGUUCCUGUCACCGUGUACGUUACAUGCAUCACCAUUCUCUUCUCGCCUUCCUAUUGACUCAAGUUAAAACCCGGGUUCGUAUUUCUUCAUGUUUUGGAGGCUGAGUCGUGACACCCUCCCCACAGUGGAUUAAGGGAGGCUGCUCAGGGAAGUCAGCCAGAGAGGGGUGAGCUUGGGCUUCAAUAACAGGGUGACACACACAUGAGGACUGCGGGGAGAGGCGGAAGGAGGAAGCCCUGGAAGCAGGCGUGAGGGGUGAUGGUCCCCCACACAAGCUCUGCUGAGCGGGGCGUGCAGAACUGCAGCCACGUGCUUCCAGCAGGGUCCUGUGGAUGCCCCCUGCCGUUUGCUUCCCUGCCACACAUAUUCACUGAUGAAGAGGGAGACGGGAGCUAUCUCCUUGGCUUUUCCAUUCAUAUGACUCUCCAGAAUUCCCCUCCAGUGUAGACAUAUCUCCAGAAGCAACCCUAUGGUAAUGUCAUAACCAGAGAUCCUGCUGAUGGUUCAAAAUCAAUUCAACAUCAACAGCCCCAUUAGUCUGAAGCCAUCCUUCCCUGAGUGUCUGCCCCGCUGUGUGUAUGUGAAUGAUGGGGGAGGGGAUCCCACCAGAGGAAUGAAGGCUGGAAAACUAGAACUGUGUGGAGCCAGGCAAGAUACAGGUGGCAAGUGACCUCCAGACGGUCAGAGAAAGCCCACCCUCCGUGUUCUCUGGAGGUCUCCUUCCCAGAGGGACCUGGCUGAGCCCUUCUUUCUGGACAGCUGUGAUGUCGUGUCUCUUCUAUCCCAGGAGUGAGGAAAUGGAUGCUUUCCUCAUUCUUCAAGAACCAAACCUCCAGGCUUCCCUGGCAGUCUAGUGGUUAAGAAUCCACUUGCCGAUGCAAGGGACAGGGGUUUGAUCCCUGGUCUGGGAGGAUCCCACACGCCCUGGAGCAGCUAAGCCCAUGUGCCACAAUUAAGCCAGCACUCGAGAGCCACGUGCCACAGCUGAAGCCCAUGCCUUCUAGAGCCUGUGCUCCACAACAAAAGAAGCCACUGCAAUGAGAAGGCUGUGCGUGGCAACUAGAGAGCAGCCACGACCCAUCACAACUAGAGAAGGCAACGAAGACCCAGCGUAGCAAUAAACAAACAAGUAAAUCUUUUUUAAAAAAGAACCAAUCCCCCUUCCUGCCUUAGGAGGCCCUGCUUUCAUGGUUGAUAGGGGAACAGUGGAACCCCUAGGCCUUUAUUCCUCCAUAUAUGUGAGGGUAAUGAUGCAAUAAGGAUGGGUAUUCAAGGGAAGGGAGAGAGGAGCAAGCAGGUCUUUCUGGAAUAUCCAAGGUAGGUCUCUGUUGCAAGGAGAGAACUAAAUGGCCCUAGUGCUUCAAAUAUAUGCACCCCAGUUUUCAAAGAACCACGGUAGUAAUAAUAAUAAUUUUUUGGCUGUCAUUUGGGGAGAUCUUUCUCUAUGCCAAGCAUUUAGCAUAUAUUUGUCAUUUAAUUCUGUGAGGUACCUAUGGGGCACAAGUAUUGUUAUGUCAUUUUUCAAAUGAGAAAACAAGUACUGAAAAGUUAGGUCAAUUACCAAUGAUCAUGGAUCUGAGAAGUGGCAGAACCAGGAUUAGACUCCCAGCUCCUGACCCAGAGCCCACCGUCUUCACCAGGCUGCUCAUCCACCUGUAUAGAGGAGUGACAGUAUCUACAUGGAUAACAGCAACUGCUUACAUUUACAGAAUGGGCUUCCCUGGUGGCUCAGUGGUAAAGAAUCCACCUUCAAUGCAGGAGACUCAGGUUCAAUCCCUCAGUCAGGAAGAUGCCCUGGAGAAGAGAGUGGCAACCCACCCCAGUAUUCCUGCCUGGGGAAUUCCGCGGACAGAGGAGCCUCACGGGCUACAGUCCGUGGAGUUGCAAAGAGUUGGACAUGACUGAGCAGCUAACGCUUUCACAGUUGCAGUAUACUUGCCACGUGCCAGAUUCUGUUUUAUGUGCUUUAUAUAGAUUCAUUGUCACAAAACUCUAUUUGCUAUUAUCUCAUUGUACAGUUGGGGAAACUGAGGCACGAAGCAUUUCUAUACUGAUUUCCUUCCACAAAUAUAAAUUGAACACCUCUUGUGUGUUAAACUCUGCACCAGGGGGCUCUGUGUGGGACCCAGAGUUGAGUAAGACACCAAUCUUAUCCUCUGAGUAUCAGCACGGUCCAUGGCAUGACCAGCAGAGUGAGCUUGGGUUGGGAUUUUGGAACUUGAAAUGGAGCAUGGUUACAACAGGGCAUCCUAAGAUAUUCUAGAGAGAUGGGCAUACCAGGAGGUCUCCAAAGCAGAGACCCAAGCGCAGGAGCAAGAUAGAAUCCUGUGGUCAGAUUGAGGCCUCAGGUCACAUCUGGACUAGCAGUUUAACAGAUAGAACCAGGGCCAUUUGAUUCUGCCUGCAAUGGAGCCUUAAGAACAGGACUCCAGAACCCAGCUUCCAGGUUUAAUUCCUCACUCUUCUACUCUUCAAUGGUAUGACCUGGGGCAAUUCCAUGAACCUCUCUGGGACUCAGUAUUCUCACUUGCACAAUGAGGAUAAUAGCAGUGCCCAUCUCAUAGAGUUGUUGUGAGAACUCAAUGAGUUAAUACAGGAGACAUCCUCGGAACAGGGCCUGGCCCAUGCUUGGCUCUCAGGCUCCCAUCAGCCUGUGAUCGUAUUGGAUCCUUGAGGCUGAGGCAGGCAGAGGCUCCAGGUAGGGGCCAAGUUGUCUCAGCAAUAGAGAGAAAAAAACUGUAAAAGGAACCAGUUAGAGCCUGUCCCUGGAGUCUUCAAAGAGAGGGAGAGAUGAACUCUGAUGGGAUACAGAGGGACUUCACAACCUUGGUGGAACAGGCUGACAAACAGCAUUAGGCUCUCCCUUCUUAAUCACCAGAGGCCAAGAUGCAAGAGCCUGGCCCCCGGGCUGGGUGGAAGCGGCGCGUUUGGGCUGGCAUUUACAGUGUCGCCCCUGAUGUCCGAUUCUGGGCAUAAAGAGAGGUUGCUGCUGGCUUUGCACAGUUUCUCAGUCACUCAGGACAGGCUUAUUGAUCUAUUCCCAGCAUCCUCUCUAUAAACUCCCCCCAACCUCAGCCUCUGGCUUGGAAGAAAGACGGGGGUGACUGGGGGAGGUGGUGGACGGCAGCCAUAUUCUGUGGCAGUAAAUCCUUCCUAGAAGCCCUGCCUGCUUUCCUAGAAGAGGAGACAGCUGAGCUCAUCAGCCAGGGCUGGAACGGCCCAGAAACAAUCCUUUCCAAUCCCCGGAAGACCCCUCAGCAGCUUGGGAAAGGAACAGCUCGCUGGGGUGCUUUGUGGACGUGGGACUGUCAGGGCAGGGGCGUCGGGUGACAGAGUGGAGCAGCUGAGGAGCAAGGAUGGCCUUUUGGAGGUGGGACAGACAUGCAGCCUACGGGGAAUCUUGUGACUGGCCCAGCUCCCCACUCCCACUCUUUAGAGAACUGGCUCCAGGACUUUUCCUAUGCACUGGAGGCUACGAUUUCCUCUCAAAGCCCCAUUAAACUGUGAGUGAGCCAGUGUGAGCGAGCAUAUGCAUGCACAUGUGAGCCUUUUGCCCCACCUACUUUUAAUUUCUCAUACUUCUUUGCACAUUUCAACCAUCUUGUGGAUUCCCAUGACAUUCCCCUUGAAUUCAUUCUCUUGCCCUGGAGUCUUCCCCUACUGGCCUCUUCUGGAAGUCUCGGGACCUCAGAGGAUAGCAAGAGGGUCUUACAAUUUGCCUUGAAAUGAGAAUUUCUUCCUUCUUGUCAUUUGAAGGCCACUGAAGAUGUGCGUGGGGCCGUUGGGAUGAGAAGGGGGUGAUGGUGUGGGAAGUGACCACUGACCCCUCCCACUCAGACCCAGCUGUCAGGCCUGCAGCACCUGCCUCUCCACCUCAGAGCCCGUUUCCCCUCUGGCUUCCUCUGGCCUGAAGUACCAGUGACAUGGAGACCGGAGGUGUCUAAGGCACACCCCCACAUGGCAGCUUGAGCUUCUCUAAGCUGAGCUGAACUGGGAACCAGUGACCCAGAUUUUGCCCCAGAUUCUCAGCUGGGAGUCCGCUCAGUGCUGUCCUCUGGCCAGGCCAAGAACAGUAUAAGCUCCUUGGCACGCAGGGAGCCCUGGGUCUCUGUGCUAGUCCCUCACGGUGACCUACUCUAAUGGAGCAGAACAGCAACACUGAAAAUACGAAACGUAGAUGACGGUUCCAAACGAUGGACAGUUCAGGCCGGAACGCAUGCUCCCAGUUGCCUUCACUGCUCUACCCGCUAAUUACAGGCUUCCACGGCUAUUAAAGUCACCCUCCCUCUCCUGUCAAAAAGACGAUCAAGUCAAAGGGGAGCCAGUCAAGGGCGCCCAUUUUGUCUGAAACAAUGCAUCUGUGAAGAAAUAAGUUGAGCACAGCUAUCUUUUCAUAUUGGUCGGUGUUUCAGUGGCAUGGAGGGAAGUCUUAGGGCUAUGCAGUCUUGAGUAGAUUGCCUGUCCUUGUUUUCUGAGCAAGAGUUGGGAAGUCAUGAGGUGGAGUCUGUCUGGCCCACAAAUGACUGAUGGCUGCUGAGGAAGAACUAAGUGAUAUACGUCUAGGACAAUGAGGCAGCCUGAGUUAGUCUCGAGAGUGGAUACAAACUGUUAUCUACAAUAGCAGAAAAUAUUAGGCACAACCUAAAUAUUCACCCACGAGGUAUUAGUUGAAUGACCAUCUGUAUGAUGGAAGACAGUCGAUAGAAUUAUGGGCUAGAAGCAGGCUUAAUCUCAUGGGAAAAUGUUCACAACAUAUCAUUAAGGAAAAAGUGGAUUAUAAGGCAGUAUGCAUAGAAUGUAGCAGUUGUGCAAGAAAAAAAUAUUGUGUACAUUUUUUAACUGGAAGAAUACAUACAAAAAUGUUAACAGUGCUGUCUCUGGGUAUUAAGAUUUGGCUUGACUUUUAUUUUCUUUCUUAGAUUUGUCUCUGUUCUUCAAAUUUUCUCCCAUGAAUACAUAUUAUUCCAAAUCAGGGGGGAAAGAAUUGUAUUUAAAAAAUUAUUAUCUCAGGGAUCCACAGCUGUGUUUCCUGUUUCUUAUCCCAUGUCUAUUCUCCAUUUGAUUUUGGAGAUUCAGAUGUCUUAGCCUUUCCCACCACAGACCCUGAUGGAGCAGGGGGCCUGGAGCAG
ensembl:lncRNA